UUUAAGUGUAAGAUUUUCUUUGUGAAACCUGUUUCAUUUCUUUACUCCUCCUCGUUCCCAAGGUGUUAUUUUUGUCUAAGUAGUGUGGUAGUAUCUUGAGAGUGUUGUCAUAAGGGAUUUUCCAGAGGGAGUGGACAACUCAGGAUUCCUCAGGAUAGAGGGUAAAUCACCUAGGCCAAGAAGUAUCCUCCAUUUUUCCUUUUGACUACUUGCAAGUUCGCUCACGUGACGGACCAAUGAGAUUGAAGGUGUCCAAUGACGUCAUUAUAUUCUAUGGGGGAUGUCAUCGGAUGUCGUAAACUAGAAAAGAAUCCCAAAGUCAUCUUGCAGCACCUUCUUCAUUUUUCCAUCCACAUCAUUGAAACCGAGCUCCUGAAUCCUUAGCUUACUUGCCCCUCUUCUCUCGCUGUCUCGUGCCCUCCCCCACACCCGCACUGAGCCAGUCGCUCUCUCUUUCCUUCUCUCGCGCAACUCCUCAGCAACCACACAUCCAAGGAAGGAACCAACCACGCAACCAACCAACCAACCAACCUAGUCUCUCCAAUCUCUUCCCUCCCCAUCCAAGACGCAAUGACUUGAGGAUAAUUUUUCGCAAAGGACGACCUCUGUAUCAGUAAUAUUCGCUUUUGGGUAGGAACACUCUAAUUUUGUCAAGGAUUUAUAAUGGAAAAGGAAACGCAUCAUGGAGAUUCUGUCAUUCGAUCUCCUCCAGAAACUCCUCCUUCAUCUUCUACCUUUCCAGCAUAUCUAAGCAUGUAUCCAAAGGGAUCUGGAUUUGAUAAUAUUGCUGCUCCUGCAAGGAAUACUGAGUCGGAAAAACUACGAAAAAUUAGACGACGCAAGGAAUUAAAAGAGUUUAGAAAGUAUAAUAAAAUCCAUGAGUAUAAGACUCAAGGAGACGAUAAUUCUUACAAUUUUGACGCUGUCUUGGAGUCGUUAGGGGAACAAAAUGGAACCCUUAAUAACAAUAACAGCAACAAUAAUAAUAACUCCGGGAAUUCAACAUCCAACAAUGGUAAUAAGGACAAUAGAAAAGAUAAAAGAGUACGUCGUCCUGUAACGAGACGACGUUCCAACAACUCCGGUGUAAGUAAUAAUAGUGUAAAAACAAAUAACACCAAUGGGGCCUCAUCUAGUUCAGAAGAAAAUGUCCUUAAAGACUUUGACAAGGACGAAGAUGAAGACGAAUUGGAGGAUGAUAAAAUGUCGUCAAGUUCUCUUGUAGGUGGAGGAGGCGGGAGUGUCCGUGAUAGCGAGGACACUCUUUUUAGUAAACCAAGUAAGAUUGAGCGCGGACUUAGUAAAAGCUCAGAAAAUCUCAGUCAUUAUUCUUCCGAAAACUUGAGUUCUUUCACUAAGGUUACGAAUAAAAAACAAAAGUGGAAGAAGAAGAAUGCUCACUCUGUUGAAAUCCCGGAUAAUUUUAACAUCAAUAAUAAUAAUAAUAAUAAUAGUGUCACAGUUAACAUCAUCAACAACAACAACAUCAUCAAUACUUCGUCUACAUCUAUGUCUACUAGCAGUGCUAACAUUGGUGGUAAAGGUGGGAACUUAUCAAGUCGCUACAAUGGAUAUAAUCUAAGAAAUCGUGAGAUUGAGGCAACUCGGCCUGACUUAGAUUAUAACGCAAGGGACUUUCCUCCGUUGGACACACCAAUCGAAGAUGGUGCUGGUUCUGUUGUACCAACAAAUGGUAUAUCUCCAACUUGGUCCAAACCCGGACCCUCGUCAUCAGUGUCUUCAUCCAGUUCUUCCGUCAUUAAUGAGCGGACAGAGGAAGAGGAGCCGCCUUCUGCAGCCCCGCAAAAAGUGUCAGUGGACUUGCCAGACGUAUCGCAUUGUCAGCCUCCCCCUAUCAAUUCUAAUGCACCCAACAACCACCAGCGCCACCACCAUCCACAUCAUCUUCCUGACUUGACUGCUCAAGCGGUAGAAGCUGUUACAUCAUCCUCAGGAAGUAUUACACCUCAGGAGACGAAGGUUGAAUUAUUCGCUUCAACAAUACUAAAAUCUGGAGACAUUGCCAUUGCUUUAACUGAGGAAGAGUAUAGAAGCCAGGACCCAUCAAUCCCAGUCGUUAUUUUCGGUCGAGGCUCUUCAGCCAUUCGAGAUUGGACUUCCAAGUCCGAAAAUUUUGAAUUUGGGUUUGAAAUUAAUGAGACUCUUUUAGCUAUGUCUUCUUCAGACUCCUCGCAUCAAAAACAAACACCUGUUCAGAAUCGCAGCCCUCCAGAAAAAGAGAAUGAGAACAUUCCUCUUGAUCGCAUUGACAGAGCCAUUCUCAGUUUUGGAGACAGUGUUACCAACCUUACUGUGUUAGGAGAUGAGUCCACCGCCGAUUCCUCUCCACAACUGGACAAUUCCAUCCAUCUGCCGCCCUACGUAGAAGAACCUAUAACCUUCAAUUAUAACGAGGUGAUAAACUACCUAGAAAACGCCUGGCUGGACUCACUCAAAGACACACAACAGCAACAACAAAAACGUCAUCCAGUCGCUUCUUCCGCUUAUUAAAAGUAAUAAUAUACAACUACAUGUGAAUUGUUAAUGCCUGAGUCUAUUAUAUAUAUUUAUAUAUUUAAAUAAUAAUUUCUUGCGAGCAGAAAAAUUCUGCUUAAUUCUCUCCCUAUCCACUUCCCACCCACACCCUUGAUUAUGUAUGAGCUCUUUUUCUCAACCAUGUGUUCCUCAACUCGCUUAAUAUUUGUUCAUGAAGGGGAAAACAGUAAAAAGAAAAAAAAAAUCCUGUGCUAAAAGUAAAUGAAACUUGAAAAUUAUUAUAAUAAAAUAUUCAUUUGGCAUUUUAUUUUUUUAAUAUCAUAAUUAAUAGUAAUGGUUUCUUGUUAAUAUAUUUAUAAAUUUUAAGCGUUAUAACUUACUAAAUCCAACACGUAACCAACCACACACAGUUAAAUCCACCUUGUAUUAACUAUAUUUUUGAUUUUUUUUAAACCCUGCUACCCCAGCUAGCCAGCCAACCCACCAUGUGGUGUUGUUGUUUGCUUGAAUUCAAAUUUGCUUCAACCAUACAUAUUUUUUUCUUCAUUUUUUAGUCAGAAUGUUUUCCGCAACUAUGUAUAGUGGAAUAACGUAUAUUUGAUUUGUUGGUGUAUUUGGAGGACAAUCCGGGUAACUUUGGGGGUGGUUUGUUAUGAAAUAUGCUUUAUUAUAUAUAUAUAUAAAUUUUUUUUUUUGCCUCUUUAACUUUUAUGCAAAUUGUUUCCCCAUGCGCGCCUUUUUAUAAUAUUACACCAUUUAUUGUUCAUUUCGAAAAGAUGAAGUAGUGUGUUGAGGGAAGAAAGUCCAGGGAUGAUGUGUGUGCUUCUGAUGACACGUCUAAUACUAUUUCAAUUAAAGCAAAAAAAAAAAAAAAAAAAAAAAAAAAAUAUCAAAAUGUCUCAAAAUAUCAUCAUCGUCAUCUCUGGAUGAAUGAUGAUUGACACAGAAUGUUGAAGAAUGAAUGUGUUGACUCUUAAUUUUUAAAGUUCAUAAGUUUUCUAUUAUUACGAUUAUUAUAAUUUUUUGUUCAAAU
rnacentral:misc_RNA from 1 species